rnacentral:rRNA from 1 species
AUUGGGUUUAAAGGGUGCGUAGGCGGUUUGAUAAGUUAGAGGUGAAAUGUUAGGGCUUAACCCUGAAACUGCCUCUAAUACUGUUGAGCUAGAGAGUAGUUGCGGUAGGCGGAAUGUAUGGUGUAGCGGUGAAAUGCUUAGAGAUCAUACAGAACACCGAUUGCGAAGGCAGCUUACCAAACUAUAUCUGACGUUGAGGCACGAAAGCGUGGGGAGCAAACAGGAUUAGAUACCCUGGUAGUCCACGCAGUAAACGAUGAUAACUCGCUGUCGGCGAUACACAGUCGGUGGCUAAGCGAAAGCGAUAAGUUAUCCACCUGGGGAGUACGUUCGCAAGAAUGAAACUCAAAGGAAUUGACGGGGGCCCGCACAAGCGGAGGAACAUGUGGUUUAAUUCGAUGAUACGCGAGGAACCUUACCCGGGCUUGAAAGUUAGUGACGAUUCUGGAAACAGGAUUUCCCUUCGGGGCACGAAACUAGGUGCUGCAUGGUUGUCGUCAGCUCGUGCCGUGAGGUGUCGGGUUAAGUCCCAUAACGAGCGCAACCCCUACCGUUAGUUGCCAUCAGGUCAAGCUGGGCACUCUGGCGGGACUGCCGGUGUAAGCCGAGAGGAAGGUGGGGAUGACGUCAAAUCAGCACGGCCCUUACGUCCGGGGCUACACACGUGUUACAAUGGUAGGUACAGAGGGCAGCUACCCUGCGAAGGGAUGCGAAUCUCGAAAGCCUAUCUCAGUUCGGAUUGGAGGCUGAAACCCGCCUCCAUGAAGUUGGAUUCGCUAGUAAUCGCGCAUCAGCCA